rnacentral:rRNA from 1 species
CCCUAUUAUUUUAGAAUGUUAAGUUUUUAUUUGCCUGAGUAGUAUUAGUUAUGUUCUUGAAACUUAAAGAAUUUGGCGGUACCUCAUUCCUUCCAGAGGAAUCUGUCUCGUUAUCGAUAGUCCACGUUGGACCUUACUUGGAUUGCUUUAUGGUUUGUAUACCGCCGUUUAUUGAUUAUCUUUUUAGAGUUAGUAAUUUUCUGGUUUCUUUAUUUUGAUUUAUUUCAGGUCAAGGUGCAGCUUGUUUCUAAGUGAAUGAUGGAUUACAUUAUUAUUUGUUUUUGGAUUGUUGGUUUUAAUAUUAGCAUGAAAUUGGAUUUGGUUGUAAUGAUUUGUAGAUUGUUUUUAUGAUAGUGGUUCUGGGGUAUGUACACAUCGCCCGUCGCUCUCGUUCAAGGUUGUUAAUGAGAUAAGUC